rnacentral:rRNA from 1 species
AACGAACGCUGGCGGCAUGCCUAACACAUGCAAGUCGAACGAGACCUUCGGGUCUAGUGGCGCACGGGUGCGUAACGCGUGGGAACCUGCCUUUAGGUUCGGAAUAACUCAGAGAAAUUUGAGCUAAUACCGGAUGAUGUCUUCGGACCAAAGAUUUAUCGCCUUUAGAUGGGCCCGCGUUGAAUUAGCUAGUUGGUGGGGUAAAGGCCUACCAAGGCGACGAUCCAUAGCUGGUCUGAGAGGAUGAUCAGCCACACUGGGACUGAGACACGGCCCAGACUCCUACGGGAGGCAGCAGUGGGGAAUAUUGGACAAUGGGCGAAAGCCUGAUCCAGCAAUGCCGCGUGAGUGAUGAAGGCCUUAGGGUUGUAAAGCUCUUUUACCCGAGAUGAUAAUGACAGUAUCGGGAGAAUAAGCUCCGGCUAACUCCGUG